rnacentral:rRNA from 1 species
ACUCCUACGGGAGGCAGCAGUGGGGAAUUUUGGACAAUGGGGCAACCCGUGAUCCAGCCAUGCCGCGUGAGUGAAGAAGGCCUUCGGGUUGUAAAGCUCUUUCGGCCGGGAAGAAAUCGCCAUCUCUAAUAUAGGUGGUGGAUGACGGUACCGGAAUAAGAAGCACCGGCUAACUACGUGCCAGCAGCCGCGGUAAUACGUAGGGUGCG